ensembl:snoRNA Gm24118 small nucleolar RNA SNORA17
GCUGCCCCUAGAGUCACUGUAGAUGUGGCUGCUGUAUCACAUGUACAUCAGUAGGUGGCAGAGAGGAGAGAAGGUAUGUCCACACUCAAUGUUCUGACCUAUGAACAUCUGAAUUAGUGUAACAUU